CCACACCCUCCCUGCACCUCUUACGGCUUCCAGGACUCCCACCAUUCAGGACUCAUUUUUUGGCUCUUUAGCACAAUUGUUUUGAACUGAAGGAAUCAGAGACUUAGGGCAACUUCUGGAAGUUUCUACCCAGUUGGCAAAGAAACCUUCUCAAUCCCCUACUUACCCUAAACUAAGAGGACCAGAAAGUCUGCAGGCCCCAUGAUAUGCUACAUCUGCUGACACCAGGGAAACUCCACUACAAGGGAGUUGCAGUCUGUCACUCAACUUGCUGAGGACCAACUCUUGGGGGCACAGUCCCUACCUGCAAGCUGCUUGGAUCUCUUUGACAGAAUUGUCACAGCCGGACAAUUGUUGGAGCAAAGAGGAUUCACGUCUCAUGAUAAUUUCCAUGGCUGCAGUGUUAUGCUGAGAAGGAUGUUGAGGGCCCGUCUUGUCUUGGCAGGAAGAGCGUUGUCUGGGGAGAAUGUGAUAAAGAGGAGUAACUGAAGAUAAUUGGAGACUAACGUGAUUUCCUCACUGCCAUAAUUAGUGGCAGAGGUGGGACUGGAACACAGGCAAGAAACAUCCCAA
rnacentral:lncRNA from 10 species